AGAUAUGUGGCGCAAUGGUAGCGCGUUAGUCUACGGAACUAAAGGCUGUGGGUUCGAAUCCCGUCAUAUCUG
rnacentral:tRNA from 1 species